ACCCACUGUCGCAAAAAUGCGGGCGCGCCCAUAAAUUUCACUUUUAUUAUUACCAAACCCAUCUUUUCUUUAUGGUGAUUUAUUUUUUCCUUUAGUGGAUAUUAUCCCCUCUGGUUCACAGAGACAAACAGAGAAAUAAAGGAAUAGGAAGAGAGAAAUCCGGGAUUAACUUCAACGGGGCGACUGAUUCAUGUCGUGGGAUGUCAUGUUUCAACCAGUGCAUUUGGUAUCAAUUUGAAACAUUGAUAUAUUUGCUCGAGUUGGAGAAAUCAAAACAUAUAUGACUGUCAUCCAUAUGUAGCUGAGUUAUGUUGAUUCCUAGCAAUUACCACGAGGUAGACAAAUAAUUCAGUUCUCCCCAUUCAAAUAAUCUGACAUGACUUUGUUGUGUUUUGAGUACUCAUAUAUUGAGGCUUAUUGCAAUGGAGUUGCACUUCGAUUUAAUUAUUUGUGUUUAUAUGUCUGUGUGGAAAGUGGGAAGGGGUUUGGAUGGGAUUUGGUCGUGUACGUUAACUUCGAUUCAUUUUAUUUGUUGAGGAUUUGGUUGUGUA